GCUUGACUGUAGCUUGUAAUCGGGUUCGGGCUUUUUUUGCGCAGCCUAGGUGGGAGGCAAUGAUGAUUUUUUCCGGAAAAAUUUGAGCCAUUCGUGAGAGACCACUCUGAAAAGGCUAGAAUCCUAAUAAUGAUCCUUGAAUCAGGACAUUUGACAGUUGCAGGUGGGCAGUUUUACUGGGGCGGUAUUCUCCUAAAAAGUAACGGAGGGGUGCAAGGUUCCCUCAAGCUGGACGGAAAUCAGCUUAAGAGUGUAAAGGCAAAAGGGAGCUUGACUGCAAGACCUACAAGUCGAGCAGGGCGAAAGCCGGCCUUAGUGAUCCGACGGUACCACGUGGAAGCGCGUCGCUCAACGGUAA
rnacentral:rRNA from 1 species